UGUAGGCAACUAAGAUGACCCCCUCUUUCAGGAAAAUUCUAAAAAAAGACGUGGAAGGAAAUGAGGGACAUACAGGCUCCAUCACAAGAUGACACAAGCUGAUCAGCACACAGUAACUGGCCUGGUGCUCCAUCAGGUUGCUCAGCUAGCCCCCAUCACAUGGUGAGAAAGUGCUUAUCAGUGUAGAACAUGCAUGAGGAUUUACGUGGGCAUAGCAUCCAG
rnacentral:lncRNA from 1 species